rnacentral:rRNA from 1 species
AGUGAACGCUGGCGGUAGGCCUAACACAUGCAAGUCGAACGGCAGCACAGUAAGAGCUUGCUCUUACGGGUGGCGAGUGGCGGACGGGUGAGGAAUACAUCGGAAUCUACUUUUUCGUGGGGGAUAACGUAGGGAAACUUACGCUAAUACCGCAUACGACCUACGGGUGAAAGCAGGGGAUCUUCGGACCUUGCGCGAUUGAAUGAGCCGAUGUCGGAUUAGCUAGGUGGCGGGGUAAAGGCCCACCAAGGCGACGAUCCGUAGCUGGUCUGAGAGGAUGAGCAGCCACACUGGAACUGAGACACGGUCCAGACCCCUACGGGAGGCAGCAGUGGGGAAUAUUGGACAAAGGGCGCAAGCCUGAUCCAGCCAUACCGCGUGGGUGAAGAAGGCCUUCGGGUUGUAAAGCCCUUUUGUUGGGAAAGAAAAGCAGCAGGUUAAUACCCCGCUGUUCUGACGGUACCCAAAGAAUAAGCACCGGCUAACUUCGUG